rnacentral:rRNA from 1 species
UACGAAGGGGGCUAGCGUUGCUCGGAAUUACUGGGCGUAAAGCGCACGUAGGCGGAUUGUUAAGUCGGGGGUGAAAUCCUGGAGCUCAACUCCAGAACUGCCUUCGAAACUGGCGAUCUUGAGUCCGGGAGAGGUGAGUGGAACUGCGAGUGUAGAGGUGAAAUUCGUAGAUAUUCGCAAGAACACCAGUGGCGAAGGCGGCUCACUGGCCCGGUACUGACGCUGAGGUGCGAAAGCGUGGGGAGCAAACAGGG